UCCUGUUCACACUGGAUCCCACGAGGACUCUUCAGAGAUCCCCAUCAACCCAGAGAAAGGCUGACCUCGGCUUUUAUUUCUUUCUUUAAUAUUAUUUUAUUUUUGUUUCCACAGCUUCCCACUCCGGCAAGAGGAGCUACGGUUUCCAUUUUCCUGCAGAUAAAGCUCCACUGGAAAGAAUGACAGAGUGGGUGACUAACCCCCAUGGUCUGUGCUAAGCCCUGUUCCCACUUCCCAGGCCACCCACCCGAAGUCCAGCCCAGAAAGGCCCACGAUCAACGAGUCAGCUCUGAACAAGCAGUGGGCUGGAGAGAUGGCUCAGUUGGUAAACUGCUUGAAGCUCAAGCGUGAGGAUCUAGUCCAGUUGCCCCCCCACCCACCCAUGUGAAAAGCCAGAAGCAGUAGCAAAUGCCUGUAACCCCCAUUGCGCCUGGAAGACUGGAUCUCCAGCAUCGCAGCUCAUCUCUGUGAGGAUGUACCCCUUCUACUUAGUACCCAGAGGAGAAGCUACUACAAGGGCCUUGUGUGGCACAGCGCCAUGCUCCAUGUCCUGAAGCAACAAAGAGGUCCUCAGCCACUGCUUAGCUGGGGAUGGCACCAGUGAGCACAGCACCCAGACUGGUGAAUGCAAAGCCUCCUUCCAUCUUUAGCAGCUCUAACGUAAGCGUGAGAAAAUGCUUCAGAAUAGUCCAGACCCAAAGGAUUCAGGCGGAAACACCCUAGUGACAACAGCAGUUACUCCGGAGAUAGGGUCUCUGGUGGCUGUCCCCUGAAAUAGAGGACACCAUACACCCGA